rnacentral:tRNA from 1 species
GGCACUGGAAGGGCGGCGGCUUAGAUGUGGCAAUCGCUGCAAGUCUUUGAUUUCGCUGCACUUCCGUUUGUGCCAAUUUUCAAACUGCCGUUCUUCUAAGCCGUAGGUCACACGUUCGAAUCGUGUAGGGCGGGCCA